rnacentral:rRNA from 1 species
UACGAAGGGGGCUAGCGUUGUUCGGAAUUAUUGGGCGUAAAGGGCGCGUAGGCGGCCGCGUAAGUCAGGUGUGAAAUCCCGGGGCUUAACCCCGGAAGUGCAUCUGAUACUGCGCAGCUUGAGUCCUGGAGAGGGUGGUGGAAUUCCCAGUGUAGAGGUGAAAUUCGUAGAUAUUGGGAGGAAUACCGGUGGCGAAGGCGACCACCUGGACAGAGACUGACGCUGAGGCGCGAAAGCGUGGGGAGCAAACAGG